UACGGGGGGGCAAGCGUUGUUCGGAAUUACUGGGCGUAAAGGGCGCGUAGGCGGCCUUCUAAGUCGGACGUGAAAUCCCUCGGCUUAACCGAGGAACUGCGUCCGAGACUGAAAGGCUUGAAUCCGGGAGAGGGAUGUGGAAUUCCAGGUGUAGCGGUGAAAUGCGUAGAUAUCUGGAGGAACACCGGUGGCGAAGGCGGCAUCCUGGACCGGCAUUGACGCUGAGGCGCGAAAGCUAGGGGAGCAAACGGG
rnacentral:rRNA from 1 species